GUUUCUGAGGACUCUGGCUGGAAUUAUCAAGUAAGAGUUGCACUUGUCUUUAGGAGCUUAGAUAUCAAGAAACUUAAACUCUGAGUUGUCAGUGGCCAUGUUGGUGGAGAGGAUCUGCCUUCAAUGUACAGCAAUCCAGAGGAAAGCUGAGUCACCAGACGACUCUGAAACCCAUUAAGGAAGAAACUGCAUCUGUCUUGCUCACCAUUGUUCACCUAGCAUAGCACCUGUCACAAGUCAGCUGUAUUACAGAUAACUGGUGACAGUGUUCUGGAGGGAAGACCGCACUGCUCCAUUUGAACACCUCGUCGACUCACUCACUGGUUUGAAAUAUGUCAUCACUCAGAGAAUGAAAACAAGACAUGAAAAUAAGCUUAUGAAAAACUUGCCUCUGAUGUUACAAACUAAAGGAAUGUGAGAUUGGAACAAGGAACCUAUAAUUUUUACCCAGUUAAAGGAGAAAAGCGCCUCUUCUUUGCUCCCAGUCAGCACCCUCUUGUACGGCGGGGACCCAGCUGCAAUGCAACACGCCCUCUCCAUCCUCUUCUCCUUUGCUGAGUGAACUUGUUCCAGAUCUGCACAGGGGCCUGAGGCAGGCAGAGAGUGGUAACACCUUUCUCUGCAGUCACCUUCAGAUCUUGAUAUCCUGCACCUUCUGUUAUCUUGUGAAUCAAAAGACCCAAAGUGCAAUUGUGAUCCAAUGCGGAGAAGUGAAAUAUAGAGCAGAGAGUAUGACCAUCAUCAUGCUGUGUUCAUCUAAUGCAUCUGGACAGCCUUAAACAUAUACAUGCAAAGAAUUUGGCAAGUGUAACUGUCCUCUGACAUUUACUUGGUAGUAAACAUAAGCAUACACCUUCCUUGGCUUCAUUUGCUUUGUGACUGAAAGCAUACUCUCUCCCUGUCUUUCUCCUGCCCUGUUUAAAAAAUUACAUGAUUACAAAAAAUACUUCAUAUUUAAAAAAAAAAUGUCAGAACACUGUUUUGAGAGAACAACAGAACACUAUGUGUAACAAGAAGUGUGUUUUAUACCAAUCAACUUGCCGAAUGUAAAAAUCUGGAAAGGAGGAAAGUGAGGUAGAAAAACAUAUUAAAAGCUGAAUCCUUAUAUCCCAAAGUAUUUUUUUUAAUUAGUAAACUUUCUUUUUUAGAGGACUUUUAGGUUCACAGCAAAAUUGAGUGAGAACCAUAGAGACUUCCCACAUACCCCAUCUCCACACAUGCACAACCUCUUCCAUUACAACACUAUCAUCCCCUGCCACCUAAGUGGGACAUUUGUU
rnacentral:lncRNA from 1 species